rnacentral:rRNA from 1 species
CGAACACUGGCGGCGUGGAUUAGGCAUGCAAGUCGAACGGGAAAACUUCCUUCGGGAAGUAAGUAUAGUGGCGAACGGGUGAGUAACGCGUGGGAAAUCUGCCCUUUAAUGGGGGAUAACGUUCCUAACGGAACGCUAAUACCGCAUACGACCUCUUGAUCGCAUGGUCGAGAGAUGAAAGGUGGCCUCUCUAUAGAAGCUGCUGUUAAAGGAUGAUCCCGCGUCCCAUUAGCUUGUUGGUGGGGUAAAGGCCUACCAAGGCGACGAUGGGUAGCCGGCCUGAGAGGGUGUCCGGCCACACUGGGACUGAGAUACGGCCCAGACUCCUACGGGAGGCAGCAGUCGAGAAGCUUCGGCAAUGGGCGAAAGCCUGACCGAGCGACGCCGCGUGAGUGACGAAGGCCUUAUAGGUUGUAAAGCUCUGUCAGAUUGGGAAGAAAAUUCCGGAGUUAAUACCUCCGGAACUUGACGGUACCAUCAGAGGAAGCACCGGCUAACUCC